ACAGCUUUGGACAAAAGUCUAUAGCCAGUGCAUUUGAAACUCCCCUUGCACAAGGGCCGACUGUAGCUGGGGAAAGACAGUUUACUCAUUUGCUCUCUCCUUUCACACAGUCAGCUGGCCCUCUUCUCAGGUGUAGAUCACCUAUUAUCAUUUCACCUGUUUUGAUUCUCUGAUGAGGAAAGUCCCAAGACUUAUCAGCUGGGAUAGGCCUCAUUUACAAGACAGCUCU
ensembl:misc_RNA